CUCUCUCUCUCUCUCUCUCUCACACACACACACACACACACACACGCCGUCUUUAUCUCUCACCGGUCUCACAGCGUUUCACCGGGCAGCAGACGCGCGUCUCGCGCACUGAACGGGAACUCUCCUCCCGGUUUAUCAGCGCGCGCGGGGAUUCCUGGUCAAUAACCGAGCGCCCUGUGGGAAGUGGUGUGUGUGUGUGUGUGUGUGUGUGUGUGAGAGAUGGAGUGUGUGUGAUGGAGUGUGUCCCGUAGAGAGGAAUCACAGCAGCACCGCGGGCAUGGAGCAGAGAAUACCGGGAUUAUUACUGCUGCUGCUGAGCGGCGCGUGCGUCCCGGAACAAGUCUUAACGGAACACAGGCGUUCUGUGCUGGAGAUGUCGACCAAUGGGAUUUGUCGUUAUGGGAACAGAGUGGAUUGCUGCUGGGGCUGGACACGAGAGAGCUGGGGACAGUGCAGACCGGUGUGUGAGUUGGGCUGUAAACACGGCGAGUGUGUUGGUCCAGAUCAGUGCCGCUGUCACCAGGGAUACACGGGCAAGACCUGCAACCAAGAUGUGAACGAGUGUGGGCUGAAGCCGCGGCCGUGUAAACACCGCUGUAUGAACAUGGUGGGCAGUUAUAAGUGUUUCUGUCUCACCGGCUACAUGAUGACCCACGACGGCACCUGCAGGAACAGCCGGACGUGUGCGAUGGCUAACUGUCAGUACGGCUGUGCGGUGAUGAAGGGGGAGGUCAUGUGUCAGUGCCCGUCGCCGGGGUUACGGCUCGGCCCAGACCGCAGGACGUGUGUUGACAUUGAUGAGUGUGCGACGGGCGUGGCCAAGUGUCCGAGGUUCCGGCAGUGUGUGAACACAUUCGGCAGCUACAUCUGCAAAUGUCACAAAGGCUUUGAGCUGCGUUACGUAAAUGGCAAAUACCAGUGUACAGAUAAGAACAACCCCUGCCAUGAAAAGCCAGACUCCAAAAAGUGCAGAUGUAAACUCGGGACCAAGGGGUGGAGCUAUGACUGCAAAUUUGUUAUUACAGUGACUGUUGAUCCAGCCAGACCGAUUACAACACCCAGACCUACAGCUAAAAUCACCGUAGCAACUAGCCCACCAACCACAGCCAAGAAACCAGCCAUGACAACCAUUACUAUGACAACAACCACAACAACCACUUCACCAACAACAACCACCACCACCACAGCAACAACAACCACUUCACCAACAACCACCACAGCAACAACAACCACUUCACCAACAACCACCACAACGACAACAACCACUUCACCAACAACCACCACAACAACAACAACCACUUCACCAACAACCACCACCACAAUGACAACAACUCCAAACACUGUCUCUACAACAACAGCACCAACCACUGUUGCUAUGACAACAGCACCAAACACUUUUGCUAGUACAACACCAACCAUGACUGCUACAACCACAGUAGCAACCACUGCUGCUAUGACAACAAUGCCAACCACUGUCACUAUGACAACGAUGUCAACGACAACAAUGGCAAAGACUGUGGCUACGACAACAAUGCCAACAACCACCACCAUGGCAACAACCACGGCACUGCCAACAACCGUGCAGCUAAUCACCACCACGCUGGAUAACCGCAUACAGGAGAUCACACAGAGGCCGAGGGGAGACGUACACAUUCCGAGGAAUCCGGAGCAGAACGUGUUCGAGCUGGACUUUGAUGAUAUCGAGUUGGGGAACACGGCAGAUUUUGCACGUGAUGAUCCAGCUGCUGGCUCUUUGAGCUGCUCUUUUGAUCAGGGUGUGUGCAGCUGGAUGACGGAUCGGGACGGAGAUCUGCGCUGGGAGACGGUAGAUGAUCCACACGGUGGGCGGUACCUGACUGUACCAGAGCCAAAGACAGAACGAAGUUUAAGAGGGGCGCGGCUCACCAUCCCUUUAGCCCCACCCACUAUUCCUCCUUGGAAAGGGAGUGAUCUUUGCCUGGCAUUUAGGCACCGCCUCCAAGGGCUUCUCAUUGGCUCCUUGCAGGUGUUUGUGAAAAAGGGGUGGGGCUACAGUCCUGCAGUCUGGACAAGGACAAGUGGACAAGGGUGGAGACACACCCAAAUCACACUGUGGGGGCGGAGCAUUGAAAGUGUGGUGUUUAAGGGAGAGAGGAGGAAGGGGCGGAGCGGAGAGAUCGCCAUUGACGACGUGAGCAUACACAGAGGAGUGUGCAGUAACAGAGGCCGGGACUGACACACACACACACACACACACACACACACACACACACACCAGAACUAUGAAUUAUUACAGAGGUGACCUCAGGUUUGGACUUUAACACUCGACUGCUCCACGCCGUCACCAUGGAUCCCACGCACCACAGUGGACUUCUGUCCUGGGGAUAUUAUGGGAUGGAAACGUUCACAGUAAAGUGGCUUUUUCACCUCAUGCAGAAAACAGACUGCUUUUUAAAAAACUAUAUACUUUAUGUGUACUGGGAAUCAGUGACGAGACCAGAGCGAGGGAUGAAAGACGUCCACACGCAGGACCACCAUUUAUUUCUUCAAGAGCUCGGUGUUUUGGGGAUUUCGAAGAGAAGCGUCCUGGCUGAAGCUCCUCAUGAUGAAGAUUGAUGGUUGAAGAUGUCAAGAGCUUCCUCAGAAAAAAAAACCUAAAAUAGAAAAUAGUUUGGAUUUGUUCUAAAAUAGAGACAAUAGUGUUAAUUAAGACCUUCUUUGAGCAGGGGUGUACAAACUUUUGACUAGUAGCAACUGUUUCAGACAUUUUGGUUUUACGUGGAGCUCUUAUCGUUCAGAUCAGCACUCUGUCUCCUGCCGCUGUCGGUCCUGAGUCAGUGCAGCGCGCGUCCCCGCUGCAGGAAGCGAUGUACACGUGAGUGAACGACACGCCGCCGUUUCCUCCCACUGUGCAGUUCUGAAGCUUUUAGUGUCGAACUGAAAGACGCCAUCUUGAGUGUGUUCAGUGAAGGUUGAAGCUAGAGUAACUUCCACCUCGAACACCAUCUCAAAGCGACGAGUACAGCGUUAUUAAUCAAUAUACAAAACACUGAAGUGUAGUUGUGUGAUUUUUGCAGGCAUUUUGAUUUUAUUGUUGUCAGGAAGAGAUUUUAGAGCUUUGAGUCCUGACUGACUGAGCUACUAUUGCUAGCGAGCUGAUAUUAUCCUUCAUUUUAAUCAAAGUCAUGUAUCUAAAAAGUCAACAUUUAUUUAUCACAGCAUUUUCUCUGUUUUGAGGAAAGAAUCUGCUGUCCCUGAUGUUCCUCCAGCUCUGACAGCUGCCCUGAGCUACGCGCUCUUUUAUUCUCCACUCGAUCUGUCGGUGGAGUUUGUUUAAAAAGGAGAAAACUUCCCAAGCUACUGCAACUGUUAGCCAAGUCAAGAGGGUUUUAUUGUUACUCCUCUAUGUAGCUUGUGUACAUAAAUGUCAUUUCUGCAGGACCACGGUGCAACACAGGACAGUACACAAGACUGCAUAACGUGCAGAUACACAACAGUGUGAAAUGAGAGCAGGACAAUAAAUACACAUUUUAAUUUGUUAAUUUAAUUUAAUGUCAUUUGAGAGUAAAAAAAACAAAUACUGAAAGAGCAAAAUGUUUUGAACAGACGAUCGUUUGAUCGCACUUCUCCUCGGUUGUGACGUCCUUUCGAUUAACGACAGCCUUC